GUGCUCGCUUGGCAGCACUUAUACUAAAAUUGGAAUGACAUGGAGAUUAGCAUGAUCCCUGGGCAAGGAUGACAUGCAAGUUCCCAAAGCAUUUCCACAAGGAA
ensembl:snRNA U6 U6 spliceosomal RNA